UACGGGGGAUGCAAGCGUUAUUCGGAAUUAUUGGGCGUAAAGGGCGCGUAGGCGGUUUUGUCGGUCAGAUGUGAAAGCCCAGGGCUCAACCCUGGACGUGCAUUUGAAACAGCAAGACUUGAGUACGGGAGAGGAAAGCGGAAUUCCUGGUGUAGAGGUGAAAUUCGUAGAUAUCAGGAGGAACACCGAUGGCGAAGGCAGCUUUCUGGACCGAUACUGACGCUGAGGCGCGAAGGCGUGGGUAGCGAACAGGAUUAGAUACCCUGGUAGUCCACGCAGUAAACGAUGUACACUCGGUGUAGCGGAUAUUAAAAUCUGCUGCGCCCAAGCUAACGCAUUAAGUGUACCGCCUGGGGAGUACGGUCGCAAGACUAAA
rnacentral:rRNA from 1 species